CUACGGGACGCUGCAGUGGGGAAUAUUGGACAAUGGGGGAAACUCUGAUGCAGCAACGCCGCGUGGAGGAUGACACUUUUCGGAGCGUAAACUCCUUUUAUAUAGGAAGAAGAUGACGGUACUAUAUGAAUAAGCGCCGGCUAACUCCGUGCCAGCAGCCGCGGUAAUACGGAGGGCGCAAGCGUUACUCGGAAUCACUGGGCGUAAAGAGCGUGUAGGCGGAUUAAAAAGUCAGAAGUGAAAUCCUAUAGCUUAACUAUAGAACUGCUUCUGAAACUCUUAAUCUAGAAUAUGGGAGAGGUAGAUGGAAUUUCUGGUGUAGGGGUAAAAUCCGUAGAGAUCAGAAGGAAUACCGAUUGCGAAGGCGAUCUACUAGAACAUUAUUGACGCUGAGACGCGAAAGCGUGGGGAGCAAACAGGAUUAGAUACCCGAGUAGUC
rnacentral:rRNA from 1 species